rnacentral:rRNA from 1 species
UACGGAGGGUGCAAGCGUUAUCCGGAUUUACUGGGUUUAAAGGGUGCGUAGGUGGGUAGGAAAGUCAGUGGUGAAAUCUUCGGGCUUAACCCGGAAACUGCCAUUGAUACUAUUUAUCUUGAAUACUUUGGAGGUAAGCGGAAUAUGUCAUGUAGCGGUGAAAUGCUUAGAUAUGACAUAGAACACCAAUUGCGAAGGCAGCUUACUGGACCGGAACUGACGCUGAGGCGCGAAAGCGUGGGGAGCAAACGGG